rnacentral:rRNA from 1 species
GACGAACGCUGGCGGCGUGCUUAACACAUGCAAGUCGAGCGAUGAAAGCCUUAUGAACUAUUCGUAGUGAUUGAGGCCGGAUUAGCGGCGGACGGGUGAGUAACGCGUGAGCAACCUGCCUUAAACAACGGGAUAGCCUCGGGAAACCGGGAUUAAUACCGUAUGAGACCCCGCCUUCACAUGAAGAAGAGGUUAAAGAUUUAUCGGUUUAAGAUGGGCUCGCGUCUGAUUAGCUAGUUGGUGAGAUAAAAGCCCACCAAGGCAACGAUCAGUAACCGGCUUGAGAGAGUGAACGGGCACAUUGGAACCGAGACACGGUCCAAACUCCUAGGGGAGGCAGCAGUGGGGAAUAUUGCACAAUGGGGGAAACCCUGAUGCAGCGACGCCGCGUGAGCGAUGAAGGAAUUCGUUUCGUAAAGCUCUGUCCAAGGGGAAGAUAAUGACAGUACCCUUGGAGGAAGCCCCGGCUAAAUACGUGCCAGCAGCCGCCGUAA